rnacentral:rRNA from 1 species
GAUGAACGCUGGCGGCGUGCCUAAUACAUGCAAGUCGAGCGAACAGACGAGGUGCUUGCUCCUCUGACUUUAUCGGCGGACGGGUGAGUCACACGUGGUUAACCUACCUAUAAGACUGGGAUAACUUCGGGAAACCGUAUCUUCUACCGGAUAAUAUAUUGCACCUCAUGGUUCAAUAGUUAAAUUCGGUUUUUCUGUCACUUAUAGAUUGAUCAGCGCCGCAUUAGCUAGUUGGUAAGGUAACGGCUUACCAAGGCUACGAUGCGUAGACGACCAGAGAGGGAGAUCGGCCAGACUGGAAGAGAGAAAGGGAAGAGACACCGACGGGAGGCAGCAGUAGGGAAUAUUACGGAAGGGGGGAAAGGGGGACAGAGGAAAACGGGGGGAGGGAUGAAGGAGUAAGGAUGGGAAAACGAUGAAAGUAGGGAAGAAGAAAAGUGUAAGUAACAAGGAAGGUAAUGACGGUACCGAAAGAGAAAGCCACGGCUAACUACGUG